rnacentral:misc_RNA from 1 species
GUUUUUUUGGUUAAUAAAAUAAACUAAAAUAAAAUAUUCAUUCAACAGAAAGCCCAAACUGGGCAUCAAUACACAACAAUGAAGCUAGCUGAAGGUGGGGAAUCACAAGGACGAGAAUCAGUAGCAAUAGCCCUGGCCACCCUAUCAGCAGCUUGGUUAGCCAGUUAGCCUUUAGAUGUAUACAAAAAAUAUUGCUAGCUGCAAAAGAAAGGAGAUCCUGAUGAACACAAUUCGAU